UCUCAUUAGCUGUCAAAAAGAUUCUCAGCAUGCACAAGAGUGAGACUGGUCAAAGAGCAGGUUGCCAGAAACCAGUAUGAAAACCCCUAUUUAUUAUCUGUUGAGCAACACAGCAGUAUUUUAGGCCUUCAGACCCACUUAUGUGCAAGACCAAAAACUCAAGCCACGGCCUUUGAUCACUCCUUGGAAAGCUUUUUCCAAACUGAAGUACAGCACAAUAGCUUUGAGCUGUGGCAAGGUUUUCAUAUUGCAGACCCCAAAACACUUCUAACGAGUACUUAGCACAGAGUAAAUACAGCAGUUUGUAUGGAAGAUGGAAAGAACAGUCCAAGAUGGAAAGAACAGUCCAAGGCCUUUCCAUCUUAAUUUAUUAGAGUACAAGAUUGUACGGAACACUUAAAAUAACCGGCGCUUGCAAAGCUUAAGACCUGACUAGAUUAUUUUCACCUCAGAAUGCGAAUAUUUUGGUGUCAUAUUUCCCUGCUGAAAGGUCUGAGCAUCAAACCAUCCCCUUCUCCACCCAAGACUUCUCCCUGACUGGCAGCAGCCUUGGAUCAGCCUCUCCAGACUCGCUUUCUGUAACAAGACCUGAUGGAGUGCAGUGCCAGGAUUCCGUAAUCGGGGCUGAUGCUGCAGAGGGAACAAAUCUCCACUGCUGCAGCUCAGCCACAUUUCAGCUCAGGAACAGAAUCACCCCCGGCUCACACUGUCAGGAUUUGUCUUCUAAGUGCCUUUGCAACAUCGCAGCUCCUUUUGCUGGUGGCAGCACAUUCGGGAACGAGAGCGUUUGCUCUCAGGAUCCACUGGCAUUCCAAGCAUGUCCCUCCCGAGAGGGUGCAGAGCAGGGCGCUACCAGUUGCCCGCCGGCUGUGCUCGGAUCUGGGAGAUCCCAGAAUGGGCCAGGCUGGAAGGGAGCACAGCGGCUCAUCUGCUCCAGCAGGGUCAUCCCAGAGCACAUGGCACAGGAUUGCAUCUCCAGUCAGGGACACUCCCCGGGCAAUCUGGGAGCCACAAGAAGAAAUUAAACUUCCCUAACGCAGAUCCUGACUCCAUUUCAUCUGGAACUCAUCUGGGAACUCGGGCGAGCACACAGAGCGCUGCCAAACCACCGCAGCACCGCUCCGCGCCCGAGGGGCUCCCUGCGCAUCCCCCGCCGCCACGCACGCGGUACCGACAACACCCCCCGAGACCCCCCGGUCCCGAACGGCCCUUCCCUCGCUCUGGAAUGCGGGGCUGGCUGGAGCCGGCCGGGGGAGCCCCUGAAUUCGGGGAGGGGGGGUCGAGUGCGGGGUCCCCACGCGGUCGGAGAUGGGGGGGAACGAGGGGGGGCCGGGCCGGGCGCGCGCAGGGGCCCGGGCCGGGGGGAAGGGGAGCGGGCGGGCUCCGCGCGCGCUGCCUGAGGGGAGGCGGCGGCGCCGCGCGCGGGCAACGGCGGUGCGGGAGAGCCCCGGGCGGUGCGGGGGACGAGGAGCAGACGGGAGAAGAGCCGCCGCCUCACCCUCUCGCUCUUUCUCUCGGUUUGCACUGA
rnacentral:lncRNA from 1 species